AGAGAAACUAACCAGGAUGCGCUUAGUAACGGCGAGCGAACCGCGCAAAGCCCAACUUGAAAAUCUCCCUUUGGAGAAUUGUAGUCUAUAGAAGCGCCCUCUGUAGCGAGCGAAGCCCAAGUCCCCUGGAAAGGGGCGUCAGAGAGGGUGAGAACCCCGUCGGCUUUUGCUUUGCUGCCUCACGAGACGCUUUCGCAGAGUCGGGUUGCUUGGGAAUGCAGCCCAAAUUUGGUGGUAAAUCCCAUCUAAGGCUAAAUACUGGCGAGAGACCGAUAGCGAACAAGUACCGUGAGGGAAAGAUGAAAAGAACUUUGAAAAGAGAGUUAAAAAGUGCUUGAAAUUGUUGAGGGGGAAGCGAUUGGAGGCUAUGGGUGCGCUCAGGCUUAUGCAUCCUUAACGGGCUGCUGUAUGUGCUGAGUGCUGGUCAGCAAGGGUUGGAUUGGUGGGAUAACAAUCGGGGUUGUUACCCGGUCUAUGCCACCGAUUUGACCAAGGCGUGAAGACUGCCCUUGUCCUUUUGGAACUGCAGUCUCAAGUUGCUGGCGGAAGGUUUCCAAUCGACCCGUCUUGAAACACGGACCAAGGAGUCUAACAUGUAUGCGAGUUGGUGGGUGGAAAACCCAUGAAGCGCAAGGAAACUGACUGGUGGGAUGGCCUGUGCCUGCACCAUCGACCGACCAUGAGCUUCUGCGAAAGGUUUGAGUGCGAGCAUACCUGUUGGGACCCGAAAGAUGGUGAACUAUGCCUGAGCAGGGCGAAGCCAGAGGAAACUCUGGUGGAGGCUCGUAGAUGUGCUGACGUGCAAAUCGCUUUUCGGACUUGGGUAUAGGGGCGAAAGACUAAUCGAACCAUCUAGUAGCUGGUUCCCUCCGAAGUUUCCCCCAGGAUAGCUGGAGCUUGUAUGAGUCAAGUCAGGUAAAGCGAAUGAUUAGAGGUUCGGGGGAUGAAACAUCCUUCACCUAUUCUCAAACUUUAAAUAGGCUUGUCGCCCAGGUUGCUUAAUUGAACCUGUGGCAUCAGAUCAGAGCUCCAAGUGGGCCAUUUUUGGUAAGCAGAACUGGCGAUGCGGGAUGAACCGAUAGUCGAGUUAAGGUGCCUAACUACACGCUAACCUAGAUCCCACAAAGGGUGUUGAUUGAUAUAGACAGCAGGACGGUGGUCAUGGAAGUCGAAAUCCGCUAAGGAGUGUGUAACAACUCACCUGCCGAAUCAAUUAGCCCCGAAAAUGGAUGGCGCUGAAGCGUGUGACCUAUACUCGGCCAUGGAAACAAGUGCGAGGUUUCCAUGAGUAGGAGGGCGUGGGUAUCGUUGCGCAGCCUGUGGCGUGAGCCGAGGUGAAACGGUAUCUAGUGCAGAUCUUGGUGGUAGUAGCAAAUAUUCAAAUGAGAACUUUGAAGACUGAAGUGGGGAAAGGUUCCAUGUGAACAGCAAUUGGACAUGGGUUAGUCGGUCCUAAGAGAUGGGGUAAUCCUGUAUCAAGAGCGCAAUUUGCGCUGCCCAUCGAAAGGGAAAAGGGUUAAGAUUCCCUUACCUGGACGAGGCGGCUGACGGUAACGUAAGCGAGCCUGCAGACAUCGGCAUUGGCCCUGGGAAGAGUUCUCUUUUCUUUUUAACAGCGCGAAGGCCCUGGAAUCGAAUCAUUCGGAGAUAGGGCUCAGACGCUGGUAAAGCACCGCACGUCUCGCGGUGUCCGGCGCGCCAAUGACGGUCCUUGAAAAUGCAGGGGAGCGGCUACCGAUCUCGCCAGGCCGUACUCAUAACCGCAUCAGGUCUCCAAGGUGAACAGCCUCUAGUCGAUAGAAUAAUGUAGAUAAGGGAAGUCGGCAAAAUGGAUCCGUAACUUCGGGAAAAGGAUUGGCUCUGAGGGUUGGGUCUAGGGGUCUGCAUUCAGAAGCUGGCGACUGUCGAUUGGCU
rnacentral:rRNA from 1 species